CCUACGGGAGGCAGCAGUGAGGAAUAUUGGUCAAUGGCCGUAAGGCUGAACCAGCCAAGUAGCGUGAGGGAAGACUGCCCUAUGGGUUGUAAACCUCUUUUAUGCGGGGAUAAAGGUGUCCACGUGUGGAUGUUUGCAGGUACCGUAUGAAUAAGGAUCGGCUAACUCCGUGCCAGCAGCCGCGGUAAUACGGAGGAUCCGAGCGUUAUCCGGAUUUAUUGGGUUUAAAGGGUGCGUAGGCGGCCUUUUAAGUCAGUGGUGAAAGUUUGUGGCUCAACCAUAGAAUUGCCAUUGAUACUGGGAGCCUUGAGGAUGUUUGAGGCAGGCGGAAUGCGUGGUGUAGCGGUGAAAUGCUUAGAUAUCACGAAGAACCCCGAUUGCGAAGGCAGCCUGCCAAGCCAUGACUGACGCUGAUGCACGAAAGCGUGGGGAUCAAACAGGAUUAGAUACCCUUGUAGUC
rnacentral:rRNA from 1 species